UAAACCGGACGGUUGCGGGCAGAGUGCCGCGAGGCCCUGUCUGAGGAAAGUCCGGGCUUCACAGGGCAAGGGUGCCGGAUAACGUCCGGCGGAGGCGACUCCAGGGACAGUGCAACAGAAAGAAACCGCCUGCCGUGCGGCAGGUAAGGAUGGAAAGGCGAGGUAAGAGCUCACCGGCGGCCUGGCGACUGGCCGGCCAUGUAAACCCCACCCGAAGCAACACCACAAAGGAAGGAAUCAAGCCGGCCCGGCGCUCCUUCGGGUAGGUGGCUAAAGGCGUGUGGUAACAUGCGUCUCAGAUAGAUAACCGUUCAAGACAGAACCCGGCUUACAGGUUUACUCA
rnacentral:RNase_P_RNA from 1 species